UGUUAAAAGAUUCAUUUAUUUAUAUUAUUAAAAAUUGAUACGAUCGACAAAAUAACUAAAUAAUGACACGUGGCAUGCCAUGUAUACAUCAUGUUGACAUAUAGAGACUAAUAUUUAACUGCGAAAAUUGAUAAAAUUUUUAAUA
rnacentral:pre_miRNA from 1 species